CAGCUCACGCUAUGUGCUUUCUUCUUCUUCCUAAAAACCCUAAAUCUCUCAAUCGCUACAUUCUUCCUUCACGCAUGUUGUUCAUCCUCCUCCUUCUGCUUCAACUUCCCAUCUGACCUUGAUUCUAUCAACAAACCCUAAUGAACAAUAUACCCAAUCAGUCCAUCUCAACGCGAUUCUUCAUCUUUCGUCCAUCCCUUCUUCGUUGUGUUCUACUAUAUAUCACUAGCAGGUACGAUAUUUGAUUUUCCUCACAAAACCUCAUCAAAAAAUGAUCCCCUCUCUGAAACGGCGCUGUCGAGAUCUUAUCAAGUUUCGCCCCAAGAUGAUGUUCAACUACACCGGAAAUUUGAUACUUAGGUAUCUUCAUUAGGCAUCUUCAUCAUCAACACCGUUUCUACACAGGGUUUUUAGGGCUUAUUACAACAGGUGAAAUCUUGUGCUCGAUUUAUAAAGGUGAUUAUGAACUGACUUCAGCGGAUCAGCCAAUGUUCAUCCUUUGUUUGAUAUUGAAGACAAUCUCUUCUUUAACUCCAUUAUUUGUCAUGUUUUGAACAACAAGAUGGAUAAGGAUAAAGCAGCAGUAGUCUGACUAAAAUGGUAGUGAUUAUGUUUUGCCGCUUUUUAAUUUGAAAUUUCUGUUUGAUCUUUGCUCUGUUAAAACGAAUCAAUUUUGUUGUUUGUGAUAUAUUUUCAUUUCAUUUGUGAGAGAAGAAUAUUGUUCAUUAAAACGAGUUGUUGAUUGAUUUGAGUUGUUGCUGUGAAUUAUAGUGAAAUUAC